CUGGACUGUCACACACGGCACAAGCCGUCACCACAACCUGCAUUGGGGGCAAACUGCCCAAAACAAGAAUCAAAGAUGGCUGUUGUCAUAUCGCCCAUUCAGUGGAGCAUGCUUCUGGCCCACAAGCCACACUAUGACUCAUUGGAGUCUAUCCUGCGGAGACUGGAUGUACUAUUCCAGGACUUCUGGCUGAAGCUCCAGAAUCGUGCACAAACUACCCAAUCUGGACAAUUGGAGGUAUCGCAGGCAGGAGCGCUGCUGAGACGGAGAGGGACCCCUCCAGGCCUUCAUGCCGCACAAGCACCUCUGCACUCUACAGUCCGCCUACCUAGGCAGAGAGCCCGCCGAGGCAUAGCAUCCAUAAUCUAUCACCCAAGAGGAUCGCCUGCCAUAAAAGGCGCCAACCACCUCGACCUUCUGCGCACCCCAGACAGAGGAAGGAGCUGAUCCCAAGGGGCUCCCAAAUGCGUGCACUAAAACUAAGGGCCGUCACACAGUCCUGGGACUGGAGGCAAGUCCUGAUCUGCCACGUGCCGGCUGGGCUCUCUAUCUUAAUGCCACAUCUACCGUAUCUUCCUGCUGGUUCCAGCUGCCUCCCAGCAAUGCGCAUAGGAUGAUGGUGACUUUUGCCUGGAACUAUUAUCGCUGCUGAUACCCUAUCUGCUCUAUUAGUACUCAUACAGUGGUGCAGCAACAUAGAAAAGUGCUUAGUUUCAGUGGAUCUAAUCUUUGACACAUAAGCUAGCAAGUUUAUUCAGUUACAAUUGUUUUCUCAUCACUCUGAGCCCCUUUCAAGGUUUAUCCAGAACAAACUCAUUCUGCAUCUGCAUUGUACUCUUGCUUUCGGAUUCCGCAUGUUUUCUCUUUUAAAAAUAAUUUUGCUAAUU